UUCAAUGACUAGCUAAAUCAGUUCUUAAAUUUCAGACCAAUGUAUCUAUUCUCUUUGGUAUCUAUAUUUUAAGGUUGAUAUUUGGAGUAAUUUUAUUUCAAAAGUGUGGACCUUUUAACAGAAAAAACAACAACAAAAACAACAACAUUUUGGUCAGAAUUGUGUUCAGAAUGGAUGGCUCCAAAGAUGUUCCGGAUGAGACAAUUUCUUUUAAAGACAGACGGGCUAGGUUCGAAAAAGAAAAAAUGCAACACAAAAGAUGAAUGAGGAGGAAUCAAACAGUACUUCAGAUGAGAAGAUGUUUGUAAAAAAAAGGGUGGAGAUGUUCGAAAAAAGUCAUGCAACACCAAAGAAUGAAAAACGUGUUCAACGCUUGCAGUCUGGUUUUGAUGACAGUUUAAAAUUAGCAAGAGAUUCGAAAACGUCUUCAAAACAAGUGAUGGAAACAAAGCAUUUGAAAACAGUAUGUAUCGUAUGAAUAAAGCCUAAAUGCAAAGGUAAGGUUGAUGUAAAUGAUUUAUAAAAAGACCUGAAAGAGAAGUUAACAAACCUAAACAAAGCUACUUUGUAUUUUGUGCUCCGCUUAGCAUAACUGGAAGAGCAUCGAAUUUAGGGUCAAUAGUUCGAUAUUGGGGCAAGGCGAAUUUCUCUGUGACAACCGAUUUCGUACAUUGAGUCUAAUAAUAAUUGUCUCUCACCUAUCAUGUGAGAUGAGUAGUUGGUCAGUUGCGGAGAAGUUGAAAACAUGAUAAAAGACGGUUAAGUAGAUCAACCAAAAUAAUGUGUUAAAUUGGCGUAAAAACAGAAAAAUAGAAAGACAGAAACAAACUUUGUAUUCUGCAACACUGUCGUAUUGAUUUUUAAUUUUUCUUUA